AUGUCCCUUUUUUCUUCCUCUUCCCACUUUCCCCUCCUUUUUAUUAAAAAAAAAAAAAAAGAAUGGAAUCCAGCUUUCUCCAGAAGUUUGCUCUUCAGCCUCUUCUCUCCCACGCGGUGGAAGAAGGACCCCAUUGCAAGGAGUGCUUCCAGGCAGGACCUCAAUGGUCUGAUGGUCGCCCCCAAUCCUCGGCGCGCUCGGUCCCCCACGCCCCCAGCUUCGGUCCCUCCAUUUGAUCUCAGGGUCCUAACAGGCAUCAGAGAAAACACUGGAGGAGUUGGAUCCAGGUCAUAUAGGAACUCUAGAGAUGGCCACCAGAAGUGGGGAAGGAGAUAAAGCCGAAUGCCCCACUAAUUCUGACCACCUUGCAAAUGCUUGUGGUUUUUCACAGGAGAAUCAGAGCAGACUGUUGGGAAGAACUCGGAGCAUCUUCACCUGGAUUUUCACGGGUAUGUGGAAAUGUACGUGGUCAGAGCUGACGUUCUAACUUUUCACUUUCUCCCAUAUUCUGCCGCU
rnacentral:lncRNA from 1 species